UACGGGGGGAGCAAGCGUUGUUCGGAUUUACUGGGCGUAAAGGGCGCGUAGGCGGCCUCCACAAGUCGACUGUGAAAUCUCCGGGCUUAACCCGGAAAGGUCAGCCGAAACUGCGGGGCUAGAGUGCAGAAGGGGCAACUGGAAUUCUCGGUGUAGCGGUGAAAUGCGUAGAUAUCGAGAGGAACACCUGCGGCGAAGGCGGGUUGCUGGGCUGACGCUGACGCUGAAGCGCGAAAGCUAGGGGAGCGAACGGG
rnacentral:rRNA from 1 species